rnacentral:lncRNA from 1 species
UAGCAUUCUCCAAUGCAGUGGAAGCUCCAAAGCAUGGCUCACUAGUAUGGCAAGAUUUUCAUCUAUAUUUUGCUGCAGACAUGCUUCAAGAUGUUUUUUUGCUAAAACUCUAGCUUCUUCCAAGAUACUUUCACCUUCUAUGGAAAGGUAGGAAGCUUCAUACAAACACAGAACUCCCUGGAUAUCUUCAGAAAGGCAUGCCUUAAAGCCCCCCAUCUCAUCCUUGAAACUACUAAAAACAUCUGCAAUAAAAAAUGCUCAUUUUUUAGCUGUUAUAGAGACAAAGUCAAAUAAAGACCUUUACUGCUAGCAAAGAAUUAGUUAAGAUCUCUAAAAUGCCUUAGGAUGCAGUACUUCAUCUUUCUGUACCAAAAAUGAAGAUGUUACUGAUAUACCUUGAGGAAUGCUAUACCCAUUUUGUCUUAGAAUUCUAAAUUCAAGAGCUGUGGCAUGCAAAUUCUCUUUCUCCCACUUGUCAUCAAUGUUAUGAUUGCAGUACAUGCUGUUCGACAGUCUCUUGAUUUCAUCUUCGAACUGGUAAGAUAUUCCAAGUCUUUGCAAGAGAUCGAUCACCUCAAGUUGAUCCAAAGGCUGCUCCACCUUUCCCAGCAUCAUUUUCACCUCCCUCUUUAGUUGAUCGAAUCUUCCUAUGCAUGUUUCUCCCUGCACAUAUAACAAUAUAUUCAUAUGCAACAUCAAGCUAAAAAACGAUUAAAACACAUUGCUAAGAAUAAUGAAUAGCUACCCUAUAAUCACUUGUUAGUGACUGGACAUAGUCGUAGUCCCAAGUGGGGGCUUGAUAAUUUGCAGUUCGCCGUACAGUGGUUUCAUAAGAAGGUCUAUUGACAACCACGCAUUGUACCGGAUGAGCAGGCUUGCCACUAAUGGAUUUUCCCAUCCAAAAAUCCCUUCUAGGUGGCAGUAAGCUAUGACUUAGAAUAGAGGUUGAAGAAAGCAUAAACAGAGCCAUUGAGAAGAACUUAGCAAGAGCUAGCUGUAGAUGAUUGUUUGGGUUGGACUGGGCUCCACAUUGACAUCAAACUUCACCCUUUAUAUAGAACAUGAUACAAGCAAGAGGCGUGCACAAGGUCAGUUGUUGAGCCUUGCCACCAAAUUCUCAUGUAUAAUAUGUGUGUUUAUCCUUUAUUUAUUUUAUGCUGUAUUGUAUAUCCAAAUAUGGGGUGGCUGUUAGGAUCUUUCUAUUUAUCCUAGAAGUAGCAAUCCCUGCCGAUCACCAACCUUUGUUUAUAUAUUAAUUUGUCUUCAUUUCAGUGGAGCUGUCGGGAGGUGUUCAUAGAUUGAUUUAUAAAAUGACAUGUUUAAUAAGUGGAAGCCUAGAUGAGUUGAACCAGUCCAAUCCAACAAAAAUGAGAACCGGGGAGUUAAAAAGGGUCUAGAUUCGGUGAUGAGAUCUCAUCAAGAAUUAAAAUAUCAAACAUUACAAAAACAUUUCGGUGGUUGAAUUUAUGAAAAUAUCAGAAAAAAAUUUUAGAGAAAAAAAUAUUAAUAUGAUAAAAAAAGUAUUGGAAGCCAGAUGAGUUGAACCAGUCCAAUCCAUCAAAAAUGAGAACCGGGGAGUUAAAACUGUCUAGAAACUCCCAUUAUGUAAUCAUAAAAUAAAAAUAAAAAAACAAAAAAAAAACCUUCUCUCUUUUACUCUCUUUCUCUCUUUAAGAAAAGCCUAAAAGAACACACUUUUAUAACAAGUCAUUUCUCUUGAAUUUAUUUGAGAACGAAAGUUAAGAUAUUUGUGCUAUGAAAAUAAAGUAAUUAUUAAUUUUUGUAAUUUCUUUCUUGAUUUGGGACAAAGAAUUCAAUAAUGAAACAAUCAAUCUAAAUUUUGGACAUCUUAAAAGGCAAUUUGAAGUCUUAUUUCCAUUAGUAGCAAAAAAAAACCUUUAAUAACUAAAAAACAAAUAGCAAUACACUUAAUUAAAUUGUUUUACUAAAUAAUUAUAUAUAUAUAUAUAUAUAUAUAUAUAUAUAUAUAUAUAUAUAUAUAUAUAUAUAUAUAUAUGAUAAAAUUUAUAGUAUUUCAUGAAAAUGUUUAGAACUUGAUUUUAUUUGUAUAAAAAAGACAAAAAUCAAAUAAAAUCAUUGGGAAUAUCAUAAGAAUGACUUCCUAUUUUCAAUAAUCAGUCAAAUAAAAUUAAAAAAAUAAAAUAAUUAAAAUGUAUUAAUUCAUUAAAAUUAUAUUUCAAUAUUUAGUUUUUAUAUGGACAUACAUAAAAUCAGUAUAUAUAAAACAUCUUGAAUAUAUUUCAUAAGAAUAACUUUGCCUCGGUAGAAAGGGGUCACACUACUAUAGAUCUUUAAUUCAGGAUCCAUAUUUAUUUGCACUUGUGAUGUAUAUAUUAUUUAUUGAAGAGCCUAAUGCAAAAUGAACUCAUGCAUCCCUAAAAUAUUGGUUUUGACAGAUAUAUUGGUAAUUCGAUUUUACAGAUAUAUCAGAGUAUAUUAAAGGAUAUUAGUAGAUAUUUUCACAUAAAUAUCGAUAGGGUAAAAAUUAAUUAAAACUCAUGAAAAUAUUAAGAAAAAUUCUAAAAAUGAUAUAAAAAGUAAUAAUAAACAUUUUUAAAUUGUUUUAUUAAAGAAAAUUAUAUAUGUAUGAUAUAAUUUAUUAUAUUUACUAAUAAUAUCAUAUGUGUAGAUAAAAAAUAUAAAUUUUAUAAAUGUAUAUUUAUUAUUAAGUUACACAAAAUAUUAUUCAAUAAUAAUAUCAAGACAUUUAAUUAUAAUAUGCUUAAUUUUAAAAUAUAUUUAAUAUUAAAACUAUGAUCCAUUUAUUUCAAUUGUAAUUAAUAAUAUAAAAUAAAUAUUGAUAUAUGCAUAAUUUUUUUAAUAUUUAAUUAAUAUAUUAAUGAUAAAAAAAAAAUCUAUGAAGAAAAUUAUUAUGAUAAUUUUUAUAGUUUUGGCAAUGUUUUUAUUUAAUUAUAAAACAACUAUAAUUAAUUAAUUGAUUAAAAUAUCUUUUUAAUAUAUUUUUUUUAUGAUGACUUAUGGUCUAGUAGUCAUCUAAGGCCAACCUUUUGUCUUGGGUUGCCAUCCCGAAAUAGUAGAGAAAAAUGGGGUUUUUUUUUUUAACUUUUGCAGCAAUUUUUAAAAAUAAUUAUUAAAAAAUGAUAAUUGAGAAAAUAUUGAUAGAUCUAUAACCGUCUUGACCACGUGAAAAGUGUCUUUUGAAGAGACAUCUUUCACAAUUUUCAAAAUCAUAAUACAUAUUUAAAAUAACUGAAUUUAAGCUAAAGGUAUUUCUUGAACAGACAUCUUCUACCAUUCUAGAAAAUUGAAUUUAUAUUAAAGGUAUCCCUUGAAAAGACACUUUUCACGUGACAAAAAAUCCAAUAUACAUUAAAGGUGUCUUUUGAAGAGACACUUUUCACAAUUCGACAAAUUUGAAUGUCCCGUGAAUUUGAUUUUAAAGUUAAAGAUGUUUCUUGAAAAAACACAUUCUACAAUUCCUAAAAAUUUUAAUUUAUACAAAAGGUGUCACUUGAAGAGACACUUUUCACAAUUCCACAAAUUCUAAUAUAUACUAAAUGACACAUUCUACAAUUCCAAAAAAAUGGAUUUAUAUUAAAAGGUCACCAUUGAUAGAGGCUACGUUGUGGAAAGUGUUUCUUCAAGAGACACUUUUAGUAUAAACCCAAUUUGUUUUAAAAUUGUGGAAGGUGUCUCUGUCAAGAGACACCUUUCACAAAUCCCAAAAAAUAGAAUUAUACUGAAGGUGUUUCUUGAAGAGACACCUUCCAUAAUUUUAAAAACAACUGGGUUUAUACUGAAAGUGUCUCUUCAAGAUACACUUUUCACAAUUUUCACAAUAGAAAAUUUCGAAUUUAUGUUAAAGAGAGACAUCUUUUACUUUAAAAUCAUUUCCACAAUUUUUAAUACAUAUUGGAUUUUGUGGAAUUAUGGAAAGUGUCUUUUCAAGAAACACCUUUAAUAUAAAUCCAAUUUUUUUGAAUUGUAGAAGGUGUCUCUUUAAGAGACACCUUUAGUAUAUAUUGAAAUUUAUGGAAUUGUGGAAAAUGUCUCUUCAAGUGACACCUUUUGUAUAAAUUAAAAUUUUUAGGAAUUGUAAAAGGUAUCUCUUCAAGAAAUAUCUUUAAUUUUAAAAUUAAAUUCAUGAGACAUUCAAAUUUAUCAAAUUGUGGAAGGUGUCUCUUCAAGAGACACCUUUAAUGCAUAUUAGAUUUUUUGUCAUGUGAAAAGUAUCUUUUCAAGAGACAUCUUUGAUAUAAAUCCAAUUUUCUAGAAUUGUACAAUUAGUCUCUUCAAAAGACACCUUUAUCUUAAAUUCAAUUCUUUUAAAUAUGUAUCAUAAUUUUGAAAAUUGUAGAAGGUAUUUCUUCAAAAGACAUCUUCUAUGUGGCCAAAACUACCGUAGAUCUAUCAAUAUUUUUUCAACUAUUUUUUUUUAAUAAUUAUUUUUAAAAAUUGCUGCAAAAUUUAAAAAAGCCCAGAAAAAUGGGCAAAUGAAACUUUGCUAUUGAGUGCCUCUAGAUUGCCUCUAGAUUGGAUACGGAAUUCCAAUAAUAUUUAAUAGAAGGAUGCUUGAUUGCAAAUGGAAUGCUGUUCCAAAAGCUGCCGAAUACUUUAUUUAAGAAGAUGCCCUUUGCUGUACAUGUGUUGUUUGCACCCAAUUAUUAUUAUUAUUUUUCAGACACAAUUCAGUGUAUUAUCACUGUUUAUUGAGUCAUUGAACGUGAUCAUAAUCUUGAUUUGGGUCCAGGCAUGAUUUCUUCGCAUAAAAUAUUAACGAGGCGAUUCGCUAGGAGCAUAUGAUAUCCUUAUCGCUAUCUUAAGGUGAGAAAGAAAACUUGUUUUAAUCAUGCUUAGAUUAAUUUGAGUGUGAUGUAGGAGGAUCAUAUCAUUUCAGUGUUUAUCCAAGAUAAAGGUGAUUUUAAGUAGCUUUAUCGAUAUUAUUGAAUCAAUUAAAUUACCAAUUGUGUGAUUAGAAAGAAUCAUAAACAAUGAGAGAAAAAAUAUAUGGGUUCUUAUUAUGAUUAAGUAUAACACGAAUAGAAUUUAAAUAGGUUUAUAAUCAAAGAAAAUAAAGAGAAAAGUAUUAAUUCAUCUAUAUCUCUAUAUAAUAAUAAUAAUAAUAAUAAUAAUAAUAUAUAACAAAUAAUUUUACAAUCGUAAAAAACAUCAAAAGUUUGCUAACCAAAAACUAAAAACAUGGAAGUGCAUGUGACUUGGUAAAUAGGUCUGUAAUUUAUGAGAAAAAAUAAACAAAAAAAAAUACAUUUUUGAAAAUGAUAAUGAGUAAAGUUUCAAUUAAUUUGAAUAUAUUUGGUCCUUUCAUAAUGAUAAAGUUGUGUGUAAUAAUCAAAAUAACACUUUUAUCGUCACAACACAUAGGAGUGAAACAAAAAAGAAAAAUACUCAUAUUAGCCAAGGAGUAAGAUAAGAAAAAGAAAUAUUCACCUCAAGUGGUUAACAUAAGAGUGCAACAAGAAAGAAAAACACUCAUAUAAACAAAUAAUCAGUGUAACCAAACCACUUCAUUGGUGGUAGACAUCAUAUCAUGAUACUUAGCUUGUAUGGAAAAUCAAGAAAUGAUAGUCAAUUUUUUGCUCUUCCAAGAAAUAAGAGAAUCACCCUAAAAUAUAUAAAAUUUAGUGAUAGACUUGCAAUCUUUGGGAUCACUAGCCUAGUCAACAUCAACAUAUGCAUGCAAUUCUAAAAAGGGAGUGGAUAGAAGUAAAAGAUUUUAAAAUAAAUCACCCUGGAGAUACCAUUGAAUAAGAAGAACAACAACCUAAUGAAUUGUAGUAAGAUAAGCAAUUUGACUAAUAAUGUUAACAACAUAAGCAAUGUUUAUAUAUGUAAUAGUAAGAUAAACUAAGUUGCCAACAAUAGUACGUUAUAAAGUAAGGCUUGACAAGGGGUCGGUUACUACUAAAAGAAGAAUACCAAACAUUAACCUUAAAGAGGAGUAUCAAUAGUCUUAGUAUUAGUAAGUUGAGCAUGAUAUAGACUAUAUACUUAGAUUGUGAGAUAAGAUAACCUUUCAAAAAAGAAGCUACCCCAAUAUCCAAAAUGUAUCGUAAAGAAUGCAAAUCCUUCAUUUCAAAAAUUAACAAUUAGCUCAAUUCAGAGACCUUGUUUACUACCCCUAUGCAACCUUGCAUGAUUACCAAAGCGCCUUUAUGUAUAAGAGUGUACCUAAAAUCAAUCUAACUCUCAUAAACUAUGUCAUCAUGGUAUAUGAGCUUAGAGGAGGGACCAUUAAUGGGACCCAUAGAAUUUUGAGGGAAUAUUGACUCAUUCAGAAUUCAAUUCUAAAAUUAAUUCAAUAUUCCACUAAAAAAAUCAACUACACUCUAAUACCCUAAGUAAAUAAAAAAGAUACGAAGUUCAAGUUUGUGACUUACUAUCCACUGAAUGCAAACUCUUUAUGAAUUGGUGUUCAUAAUCCAACAAGGGAGUGUUAUCACCUAUCAAGAUUACCUUUCUAAUCCUUGAGUUACAAAUCCCACUUAUUUUGUGAUCAAAUGACAUACUCUAGUUCAUAAAGUGCGUAUGUCAAAUUCACUUAAGGAAUUAUUACAACGCCACAAAUUUCAUGAUCACAUGUCCUUUGGAUUACCUAAGAGGACAUAUUAUCUCAAUUUCAUGAGAUAUCAUGUUACCUCUAUUGAGAAUACUUGUUGCCUCCAUUGAGAAUACAUGUUGUCACUAGCCUCCAUCAAUAAUGAGGGGAUAUUAACCACUUUAAGAUUUCAUUCAUAGGUCAAAGUCUCCUAUUGAUUUUGGCAUAGACUCAAUAUCCUCUUAGAGUUGAGAAUCCAUACAAUAUAGUUGUUAGCAACUUAGAUCUAAGCAUCCGAAGUAAUACUAUUUUUUUUUUAUAAUGACCUUUUAGGGUUAAAGUAUUAGGAUAUGAUAAGUUGUAUUUGGCUGUAUCUGAAAUAAUAUAAUGUGAAUAUGCACAUUUGCUCUUACCUGGACGCAUACUUUAGAUCCUCCUGGUGCUUUGCUUGCACCAUAUUGUAAUCUAAUUUUGCAAACUCAAGCAAGAUGGGGUUCAUGUCCUGUGUUCUCUCAAAUGCAUCUAUGGACCACCUUGCCUCUAACUUUAGCAUUCUCCAAUGCAGUGGAAGCUCCAAAGCAUGGCUCACCAGUAUGGCAAGAUUUUCGUCUAUAUUUUGCUGUAGACAUGCUUCAAGAUGUUUUUUUGUGAAGUCCCUAGCUUCUUCUAAGAUACUUUCACCUUCUAUGGGAAGGUAGGAAGCUUCAUACAAACACAGAAUUCCCUGGAUAUCUUCAGAAAGGCAUGCCUUAAAGCCCCCCAUCUCAUCCUUGAAACUACUAAAAACAUCUGCAAUAAAAAAUGCUCAUUUUUUAGCUGUUAUAGAGACAAAGUCAAAUAAAG